GUCAUAUGCUUGUCUCAAAGAUUAAGCCAUGCAUGUCUCAGUACAAGCCAAAUUAAGGUGAAACCGCGAAAGGCUCAUUAAAUCAGUUAUGGUUCCUUAGAUCGUACCCACAAUUACUUGGAUAACUGUGGUAAUUCUAGAGCUAAUACAUGCAAACAGAGCUCCGACCGGAGACGGAAGGAGUGCUUUUAUUAGAUCAAAACCAAUCGGUGGCGGGUUCGCUCGUCAUCGUACAACUUGGUGACUCUGAAUAACUUUACGCUGAUCGCACGGUCAUCGCACCGGCGACGCAUCUUUCAAAUGUCUGCCUUAUCAACUGUCGAUGGUAGGUUCUGCGCCUACCAUGGUUGUAACGGGUAACGGGGAAUCAGGGUUCGAUUCCGGAGAGGGAGCCUGAGAAACGGCUACCACAUCCAAGGAAGGCAGCAGGCGCGCAAAUUACCCACUCCCGGCACGGGGAGGUAGUGACGAAAAAUAACGAUACGGGACUCAUCCGAGGCCCCGUAAUCGGAAUGAGUACACUCUAAACCCUUUAACGAGGAUCAAUUGGAGGGCAAGUCUGGUGCCAGCAGCCGCGGUAAUUCCAGCUCCAAUAGCGUAUAUUAAAGUUGUUGCGGUUAAAAAGCUCGUAGUCGAAUUUGUGUCUCGCGCCGCCGGUUCAUCGUCCGCGGUGUUAACUGGCGAGUCGCGAGACGUCCUGCCGGUGGGCUUAGCUCGCGAGGGCGGCCCAACUCAAUCCUGCCGCGGUGCUCUUCAUUGAGUGUCGAGGUGGGCCGGCACGUUUACUUUGAACAAAUUAGAGUGCUUAAAGCAGGCUAAAACUUCGCCUGAAUACUGUGUGCAUGGAAUAAUGGAAUAGGACCUCGGUUCUAUUUUGUUGGUUUUCGGAACCCCGAGGUAAUGAUUAAUAGGAACGGAUGGGGGCAUUCGUAUUGCGACGUUAGAGGUGAAAUUCUUGGAUCGUCGC
rnacentral:rRNA from 10 species